rnacentral:rRNA from 1 species
UACGAAGGGGGCGAGCGUUGUUCGGAAUUACUGGGCGUAAAGGGCGCGCAGGCGGCUCUGAAAGUCAGAUGUGAAAGCCCCCGGGCUUAACCUGGGAAUUGCAUUUGAUACUCUGGAGCUUGAGUGUGGGAGAGGAGAGUGGAAUUCCCAGUGUAGAGGUGAAAUUCGUAGAUAUUGGGAGGAACACCAGUGGCGAAAGCGACUUUCUGGGCCAUUCCUGACGCUGAGGUUCGAAAGCUCGGGGGAGCAAACAGG